GCAUCUCUAUGGUCCUCCAAGGUGUCGCUGGGGUCCUCCAACAACUCUAUGAUCACCAUCGAGGUCCUCCAAGGCAUCUCCAUGGUCCUCCAAGGCCUCACUUGUGUCCUCCAACAACUCUAUGAUCAUUGAGGUCCUCCAAGGUGUAGCUGGGGUCCUCCAACAACUCUAUGAUCAGCAUCGAGGUCCUCCAAGGCCUCACUUGGGUCCUCCAACAACUCUAUGAUCACCAUCGAGGUCCUCCAAGGCAUCUCUAUGGUCCUCCAAGGUGUCGCUGGGGUCCUCCAACAACUCUGUGAUCAUCGAGGUCCUCCAAGGUGUCGCUGGGGUCCUCCAACAACUGUAUGGUCACCAUCGCUGUCCUCCAAGGCCUCACUUGGGUCCUCCAACAACUCUAUGGUCACCAUCAAGGUCCUCCAAGGCAUCUCUAUGGUCCUCCAAGGCAUCUCUAUGGUCCUCCAAGAACUCUAUGAUCCUUACGGUCCUCCAAGGCUUCACUUGGGUCCUCCAACAACUCUAUGAUCAAUGGGGAGGACCAUUGGGGAGGGAGAUGGGGACAUAGGGACCAAUGGGGUGGGGGACGGGAACAUACAGACCAAUGGGGUUGGAGAUGGGGAUAUAGGGACCAAUGGGGUGGGGAGAUGGUGUGGGGAUCCCCAAGCAGCCAAUCAGGAGGCCACGUAUGUCUCUGGGAUGGGGAAUAGGGACCAAUGGGGGGCGAGCUGAUCACGGAGGGGCCCAAUAGGAGCCAAUAGGGGCCCAAUAGGAACCAAUAGGGACCCAAUAGGGUUGGGAGGACCCAAUAGGAACCAAUAGGGGCCCAAUAGAACCCAGUAGGGGCCCAAUAGAAGCCAAGAGGGGAUGGGAGGAGCCAAUAGGAGCCCAAUAGAAGUCAGUAGGGACACAAUAGGAACCAAUAGGGGCCCAAUAGAGGCCAAUAGGGUUGGGAGGACCCAAUAGGAGCCAAUAGAAGCUAAUAGGGGAUGGGAGGACCCAAUAGGAGCCAAUAGAAGCCAAUAGGGGAUGGGAGGAUCCAAUAGGAGCCAAUACAAGCCAAUAGGGGAUGGGAGGAGCCAAUAGGAGCCCAAUAGAACCCAGUAGAGGUCCAAUAGGAACCAAUAGGGGCCCAAUAGGAACCAAUAGGGGCCCAAUAGGAGCCAGUAGGGACCCAAUAGAGGCCAAUAGGGAUGGGAGGAGCCAAUAGGAGCCCAAUAGAACCCAGUAGGGGCCCAAUAGGAGCCAAUAGGGGCCCAAUAGAGGCCAAUAGGGGAUGGGAGCACCCCAAUAGAAGCCAAUAGGGGAUGGGAGGACACAAUAGAAGCCAAUAAGGGCCCAAUAGAGGCUAUAGGGUUGGGAGGACCCAAUAGACGUCAAGUUGAUUAUGUUGAGAACCAAUAGGAGCCAUAGGGAUGGGAGGACCCCAAUAGGGAUGGGAGGACCCCAAUAGAAGCCAAUAGGGGAUGGGAGGACCCUAUAGACGUCGAGUUGAUCACGUUGGGGCCCAAUAGGAGUCAAUAGAAGC
rnacentral:lncRNA from 1 species